UACAGAGGCCUCAAGCGUUGUUCGGAUUCAUUGGGCGUAAAGGGUGCGUAGGCGGCGCGGUAAGUCGGGUGUGAAAUCUCGGAGCUUAACUCCGAAACUGCAUUCGAUACUGCCGUGCUUGAGGACUGGAGAGGAGACUGGAAUUUACGGUGUAGCGGUGAAAUGCGUAGAUAUCGAGAGGAACACCUGCGGCGAAGGCGGGUUGCUGGGCUGACACUGACGCUGAGGCGCGAAAGCUAGGGGAGCGAACGGG
rnacentral:rRNA from 1 species